GAUGAAGAACGUAGCGAAAUGCGAUAAUUAAUGUGAAUUGCAGAAUUCCGUGAAUCAUCGAGUCUUUGAACGCACAUUGCGCCCUCUGGUAUUCCGGGGGGCAUGCCUGUUCGAGCGUCAUUAUAACCACUCAAGCUUUCGCUUGGUAUUGGGGCUCGCGGUUCCGCGGCCCCUAAAAUCAGUGGCGGUGCCUGUCGGCUCUGCGCGUAGUAAUACUCCUCGCGAUUGAGUCCGGUAGGUCUACUUGCCAGCAACCCCCAAUUUUUACAGGUUGACCUCGGAUCAGGUAGGGAUACCCGCUGAACUUAAGCAUAUCAAUAAGCGGAGGA
rnacentral:misc_RNA from 1 species